rnacentral:rRNA from 1 species
GUAAUACUGUAUAAUCCCUGCGGGGGAAAGAUUUAUCGCUAUUAGAUGAGCCUACGUUAGAUUAGCUAGUUGGUAAGGUAAUGGCUUACCAAGGCUGUGAUCUAUAGCUGGUCUGAGAGGACGAUCAGCCACACUGGAACUGAGAUACGGUCCAGACUCCUACGGGAGGCAGCAGUGGGGAAUAUUGGACAAUGGGCGAAAGCCUGAUCCAGCUAUGCCGCGUGAGUGAAGAAGG